GAUGAACGCUGGCGGCGUGCCUAAUACAUGCAAGUCGAGCGAACAGACGAGGAGUUUGCUCCUCAGACGUUAGCGGCGGACGGGUGAGUAACACGUGGAUAACCUACCUAUAAGACUGGGAUAACUUCGGGAAACCGGAGCUAAUACCGGAUAACAUGUUGAACCGCAUGGUUCAACAGUGAAAUACGGUCUGGCUGUCACUUAUAGAUUGAUCCGCGCCGCAUUAGCUAGUUGGUAAGGUAACGGCUUACCAAGGCAACGAUGCGUAGCCGACCUGAGAGGGUGAUCGGCCACACAGGAACUACGACACGGUCCAGACUCCGACGGGAGGCAGCAGUAGGGAAUCUUCCGCAAUGGGCGAAAGCCUGACGGAGCAACGCGGCGGGAGUGAAGAAGGUCUGCGGAUCGUAAAGCUCUGUUAUUAGGGAAGAACAAAUGUGUAAGUAACUAUGCACGUCUGGACGGUACCUAAGCAGAAAGCCACGGCUAACUACGU
rnacentral:rRNA from 1 species